GGAAGAGCGUUAUCUCCGGUGAGGUACCCGGACUUCAAAUCCGGGAGGGGCCGCGAGCCGGUCCCUGGUGGGUUCGACUCCCACUCUCUUCCGCCA
rnacentral:tRNA from 1 species